AAGACAAACGCACAGACAAGGAGAACGUGGUGUUAGGUAGCCCUAGCACUUGCUGCCUGGUUAAGCUCAGUUCAAACGUGUAUCCCUACAGGAAAUUGCUCAGGGAUGAUGCAACAGCAGGAAAAGUGCUGCCGUCUUAAGAGACAAUUGCAAAUGCAGUCAAAGCUUGUCCAGAGGUCACUGCAAACAGUUGGCAAGCAUCCCACAGCUCACCUCUGACAAGUGCAUGGAGUACAGUACAGUUUCUACAGAAUAUGGCAGCUGUGUCGCUUACUGAGUGACUGCCUCUGCUUCAGUGAGGAGCUAUUGGACUAGAAGAUCCUAGGAAUCGAUUAGAGCCAGCCCAUCGGGUUAGUUAUAGUUUGGAGAGUCUGGCUGGCUUUAAACAUUUGACUUGCUCCCGAUGCCUACCUUUGCUUUAAGGUCAGGGCACUACCCUCUGGGUUCCAAUGACUCUGUUUUUAUCUUUCCUGUCACACUGGUAAACAAAUGUGCAACUUGGCUUUAUUUGUGAUCAUCUGAAAGACAGCUGUUAAUGUGAAAAUGCCAUGUUGGUCCUGUAUUAGAGAAGUGGCCUGGAAUUUGGAUUCUCUUUUCCUCAUAGAAGGAAUUUGGCAAAAGCUACCUGGGAAAAACCAUCCUAGUUAUACAACUCACUGCCAAUAGCUGUAAGGAUGGCAGAGAUCAAUUUAAAUUGGAAGGAACCAAAAUAUCUCCUUCCCCCAGGAAAGGCUUCAUAACUAGGCAGGCUCAUUCUUUUUCACUGCUCUUAACCUCACUGCCUGAGCAGCAUAACCCCUGGCACAGAGCUGCAUCCUUCAAGCCCACCACCAUGAAGUCUGGGAGAAAAGGGCCCAAGCCAGGGCCUGCGGACGUCAAUGGAAUGAUGGCUAUGGAUUCCAAUAGACAUUGGAGCAAGCCUAGAGAGCAAAACAUCCAAUUUCCAUCCAUUUGGGAGCUAUCUUCUACUCUUUCACUCCUCUACCCCCCACUAUUAACUGCUUUGUGCUGCCCUGACUUGAGACCUGCCCUCUGAACGCAGAAAUCCAGGGCCGGUUUCUAUAUCAAACAAAGACUACUGAACACUCAGAUGGACAUGAACAUUGCACCACUUCUGAUAAACAGGAGUAGCUGCAUCCCAGGUUGUAUGCGUGAGAGAGAUGGCAUCAUCUGUGGGGUCCAGAGACACAAAGAGGUCUCAGAUGAUGUAUAAGGAUUAGUGGCCCAUCAAGUUUUCUGUGGGUUGCAUGUCUCUAAGAAUACUCUCAGCCAGUGCUCGCUUGUGCCUUGUACUAUGCUAUGAAUGACUAUAUCCACCUUGUUCUGUAUUUGUUGGUAUUUUACCAUUUUGCAUUGUUCCUGUGUGUAGUUUAUUUACAGAUUUUCUGAGUUUAUGAUAUGUGCACAUAUCAGGCCUGUGAAUUAUGGCUUUUCAAAGGAUAUAGAGGCUUAUGGCAUGGGUGUUUGGACUGUGUGUGUUUUAUUCAAAGAUAAAGACUGUGGUGGUUCCUUUGGGG